UACCUGGUAAUAACCUGGUUAUAACCUGGUUAUAACCUAGUUAUAACAUGAGACAUUACCUGGUUAUAACCUGGUUAUAACCUGGUUAUGAACUGAGACAUUAC